GACGAACGCUGGCGGCGUGCUUAACACAUGCAAGUCACGGGGGCCCAGCAAUGGGUAACCGGCGAACGGGUGCGUAACACGUGAGCAACCUGCCGAUCUGAGGGGGAUAGCCGGCCCAACGGCCGGGUAAUACCGCAUACGGUUUCUAUGGGACAUCCUGUGGGAACGAAACCUCCGGGGCAGAUCGAGGGGCUCGCGGCCUAUCAGCUAGUUGGUGGGGUAACGGCCCACCAAGGCGACGACGGGUAGCUGGCUGAGAGGAUGGCCAGCCACAUUGGGACUGAGAGACGGCCCAGACUCCUACGGGAGGCAGCAGUGGGAAUCUUGCGCAAUGGCCGAAAGGCUGACGCAGCGACGCCGCGUGUGGGAUGAAGCAUUUCGGUGUGUAAACCACUGUUGCCCGGGACGAACACCUUCUUUCGAGAAGGCUGACGGUACCGGGUGAGG
rnacentral:rRNA from 1 species